UGAGAUUUCCUUUUUCCGUGGCUAUGUGGUCUGGAAACUGAAGAAGAUGAACUCUUCUUUGCUUCGAAAGUGGCUUGUCAUUCCCAAAUCCUUCCCUAGACCCUGUCAUUUUCAUCCUAGCCCAAAUCCCAAUAUUCUUUUUAUUGGGGAUAUUCCUUUUCUAUUAAAGGAAUAACUCAAAUUGACCUAGGUUGUGAAGCAACCUUUAUUUCCAUCACUCCUAAAAUUCCCAAAUAAUUCUCAUAAAUUGUUUGGGUCAUAUCUUUCUCAAAUACAGCAAAAUAUUUCAUUUGUCAUGUUUAUCAUCAUGCUCAAAUAAUUCAUUUCCUAUUCUGCCCUAAAUGGGACAUUGUGAAGCAAGUGCUAUUUGACUUUUCCCAAUUAACCUCAAACUCCUUGGACACCUUUUCCUGUCCAUAUCGUUGCCACAUGCCAAAGUGAAACCUCAUUUGCCUAGUAAAUAUUCCUGAGCAAUUUUUCAAAGUUCAUGUCUGAGGGAACUGGUUGUGAAGGAAGUACAAGCUAGGCAUAUCCAAAUGAGUUUCCAUUUUUCAUGAUCCCUAAUAUCAUCAUAUCAUAGCUCUCCACCAAAGUAGAGCUCAUGUCAUGCCUCCAUGUGAGCUCAUCUUCAAUUCUUUGAUUCUGUUCAAAAUUUCAGUUUGUGAAGCAAGUAUAUGUUAUCUUGCUCCAUUAUGGCUGCCAAUUUUUCUAGGCCUUAUGUUAUCCAUAUAACGUACCUCCACCCAUUUUGGGCAUGUUUCAUCAAGCCAUUAUUCCUCUAGAAUGUUUGCAAGUUUCUGGUCAGUGGAAAUGUUUGUGAAGGAAGUACCAUUUUGGUUUAUCCAAUUGGUAUGAAACCUUUUGAUCAUAUUCAUAAGACCAAAUAACUCUUCCUUGCUCAAUUUCAGCUCAAGUGGCUUCUCCAUUUGAGAGCAUCAUCAUGAUCUUCAUUCUCGACCAGAUUACUUAGUCAUAAAGCAAUUAUAUUAAUUAGUGGUCCAAUUCUUCUAAAAAUUACCAGGAUGUAACUCCUUCUUACCCUAAACAUACCAGACAUCUCUUUUGACCUCAAUCAAGUCUCUGUGGAUCAGCAGUGCUCGAUCAAGUUUACUGCAGUAAACUUCAGAGCUUGAUUACUUUUUAACCAUGUCACUUUUAACCCAUCUACCACCUCAGAUGCAACCUCCCUUGGAUGAACUACUUACUAGACAACAUUGCCAAGUACCUCUCCCCCACUACAUGCCAGUGCACAUGGUGACCACGACACUGGCAUGCCUGUGCACGCGCUCUGUGUGCGGUGCGCGCGUCCAGUGGCUGUUUGUGCUGGACCCCUUCUCCCUUUCGGCGUCUUCGAGCUCGUGAGCAUGUCCCACAGCUGCACCGCGUCGUCGCUGUCCUCCUGGAGCCCUCUCCCCCUCCGUCAGCCCCUCCGUCAGCGCUCGUCGCCGCGCGCCCACGGGCGAGCUGUAACUGACCGAGGCUUUAAUGGCGUUCGGCUCUUCUCCUCUUGUCCACGAGCUCACCCUAGUCUCCGUGAGCCCUGACCCUCGUCCGUUCCCUCUGUCGUCGCCUUCCAGAGCCACUUCCCCGAGCUCGAGGAGAUCCCAUUGCCCUCCCAUGGCCGAAGCCUCGCCUCGGGUCUCCGCCUAAAUUCGCGGCAUGCCGAGCCCCUCCCCUCCUCGUUCCACCACCAGGAGACCCACCGGAGUCCACCUCACCUCCCCACUCCCUCAUUUUUUCGCCGGAGGCCCUGUGGCCGCCCCUCCAUUGAAUGGCCGCCGCCGGCCGCGCUCUCUGUUGCCUCCAGCCGCGGCAGCCCCGCUCCUCCCCGGCGCCGUUUGCCCUCUGAACGGACGCGCCGUCCUUCCCCGACCUCGCCGGCAUGUUCCACUUGGCCGGAGGUGGCCGGAAUCGCCAGCGCCCGUCGCCGGCAGCGCCUCUGCUCCGCCUCUGCCUCCUCCCGUUGCCUUCUCUCCACUCCUCCCCGACGCCUCUUUCCCCUCUGGACGGGUGCGCCGUCGCAUCCCGCGGCCGCCGGUUCCCUCACCUCGGUCGGAGACGGUCGGAGUUGGCCGGGCCGGCGCCGGCCUCUUCCCUUCCCUCGCUCCUCUGUCACUGAUCGGGGAGGCAGCGAGGAGGAAGAAGACAGGCGCGAGGAGAGGGAGACGGAUAAGGCGGGCCCCUUCUGUCAGCUGCUCAAGCCGGGCCCCGCCACCGCCACGUCACUUAAGUGGAAGCGUGAACACAGUCGUACGUUUUCCUUAGGUGAAAGCGUAUUAGAGUACUGCUUCAGGUGAUUGUACGUUUUCUUUCACUGAAAACGUAUUCCAGUCCUUCUUAAGCACUGAACGCGUUUUCCUAUUCUGAAAACUUAUUGUCUGUAAUACGUUUUCUGUUUUUCAGCUCAGGGGCCUGUUUGUUAGAAAUCUUUACAGAUUAGUCCCUAAACUUCAACAUCUCAUAUCUUUUUAAUCACAACUCCAAAUGAGGCGAAUCCGAAGCCCACUUCUUCGUUUCGUUGAGCCCGUUCUGUUGGUUUCAUUUUCACUAUGGUUUGACACUGUGAAAAUGACCUUUUUGCCCUUGCACGUAAACAGCCCCUCCGAGAGAACUGUUUCCGGCAAGUCUUUCCGCGGCUUCACCGCACUUCUCCCCGGUGCCUUCUUCAUCCCCAGGCAAGCCACAAUACCCAUUUGCAUGAUAGUCAUGCAGUUGCCAUGGUUUUCAACUUGAAUAUUUAUUAAAUGAUUGCUUGUUUAAAACAUGGUUAUCGUUGUUUCGGUAAUGCUUCUGGUUUAGUGCUUACUUGUUUGCUAUGUUGUUAUGCACCUGGUUAUCAUGCCCUGCUAGUUGCUAGUACUGCUUUCAUAUUGACAUGCUGGAUAGUAGUACAUGUUGGGUUGGUCAUGUUCUUCGGUGCAUGAUCAACGUCGGUUAUCGAGUACCAUUAAUAUGCGUUGUUCCUUUGUUGUUAGUUGGUUAAGUCUUACUCGGUGAUGUUAUUGAUGAUUUCUUGCAUGUUAUUUAUAUUUGAUGACAAUGGUCAUGUUAUGCUAUGAGUAGUGUUGUACUUGUAAAAUUUAUGCUCGUCAUUAUGCCAUGUUCAGUUGGAGAUUAUUCAUAGUUGAUAUGGUGGAUAGUUAUGUUGCAUCCCGUACUUAUGUUGAUAUCAUGUUCAUGCAUUGUAAUUGCAUCAUGUUAUUUUAUCAUGGCUCAGCAUUUUGCAUUCAAGUUUAACCAGAUUUAAUUAAACUUGAACAACUGUUGGCUGAGUCAUGGUGCCGCCAGAUCGAAACUGACCAGUGCAACCACGCUUACCUUAUGGGAAGGUCCUAACUGGGUCUAUUAUCGUGCAUCUUGCCGGUGCCUCCCACGAGGGAAGGUUAUGGGUGUGCUUACCCUGAUCAGGUAGGCAGACAUAACCUUGUGUGCUCGUUGUUUAUAGUUUUAUGGAUCCAGUCCUCGAGUGGGAGUGUUUUGACCACGACGGUGGCCGGGGUGUCUUUGCUAGACACGGGGCCACCCAGGACUAGCCCGUUGGGGAUUUGGUCGGAGUGGCCGGGAGAAUGUCACGGCAGUAGAUCGGUUUUGUCGGAACGCCGUUGGUCCACCCGAAUGGGAGUGCGAGGCCAUGGGUUCCGUAGUGUGGGUACAGUGUACUAACCUCUGCAGAGUGUAUAUUAAAUCUAUCGAUAGCCGCGCCCGCGGAUAAGGGCCCAGUCCGUGUCGGUCCCACCGUGAGUCAACAGUAUUAAUAAUAACUUGAUUAAUAGACAACCCCGGUUUGAUGAUGAGAUAAGUUGGUUGUGAUCGCCGAAAAGAUCACUGUUUGAGACCAAGUGUUGGUCGUGGUUGUGAUCGCCGGAAGGAUCACGGUGGUAUCGAGGAUACCGAGUUAUUGUAUAUUCGCGAUGUUGUGCGAGAAUCAUGGGUAAAGAUCAAGCUCCUUGUGGUCAUUUAAUGAUUACUACGGUAUUGUUUAUACCAAGCUUGAUUUGAUCCUGAGAUAAUCGUGUGAUGUCCGAGGUUGGUAAGUGAGGCAUGUGAUGGUUACGUAGUAACCCGAGCAAAAUAAAUAAUGCAUAUAGUGUCAUCAUGUUGCAUGCUAGUAUCGUCAGACUCAUAUGCUCAUGCUAUGCUCAUGUUGUUCUAGCUGUAUCGUGUUCAUGUUGCCUUUGGAUUUUUAGUGGCUAUUAUGAUUAUUUUCAUGAUGGUACCUGGUAUUAUUUUGGGAGUAUUACUUUGGGUGUCAUGUUGUUCAGGUCAUGUUGUUAUGAGGAUCUCAUGUUAAUUCUUGCUUAACCUGUAAUUGCCAUGCUGUUGUUUGUCUUGAAUGCUUCUGGUUAAUUGUGAGCUUGCAAGUACAUUCAAUGUACUGACCUGGCGUGUCAUGCCAGCUUGCAGGUCGUGCCUGGAUUGCAUGCUUGUUCGCCAUGGAUUCUUUGUUUGCGAGCUAGGAUAAGCGUUCCAGCCAGAGUCCCUGCGGAUUGGAGUUCACCACCGUCGUCGUUGUUCCGCUGCUAGAGUUAUUCCACUGCUUCGAGUUGUUCUGCUGCUUGCAUAGAGCAACUGAGGAUGGCGUAGUGUCGCCGUGCCGAUGUUAUUCAUUGUAACAUCGGAGACCUUGUAUUCAUAUUUGUGAUAUAAUAGAAAGCUGGUUCGUUCUAUGCUAGGCAGUGAUGUAUUCCAGAAGACUUCUCCUUGAUCUCUGGGCUGGAAUACGGGGCGUUCCGGUUUUCUCUGAGCUGGGGUGCCACAGCGCUUGGUAUCAGAGCAGGUCUGGCUGUAGGAUGCCUCGGCCCGCGCGAACGUUAGAAAGCGGUAGUAUAGACCCCAGUUGGUUUGUUGCACUUGAUUGUUGCAUUUGUUUGUCGCACAGCAUGCAUAUAGAUUAUUAUUUUGUCACUAACGGUUAAUCUUGUGAGUGUAGGUGGCAUCGGUUUCGAUCCACUACCUGCACCCUCUUUCAUAGCAUGCCUGCUCUUCGGUGUGAUGCAACCACAUCAUCAUCCAGGCUCUCCAUCUCGUCCCCUUGGCAACCCUUGCUGAUCUUUGUUAUCAAAAAAGGGCAAUGCUAUUAAACCCAGUCUUCCACUAUUAUCUUGCCCUGUCAUAUCAUUCUUUGGACAGGUAUGAUUCCCUUCGUACGCUUGAUGAUGAGGAAGUCGUGACUUUUGUGUCUCACUACUUGAUCGUCAAGUUCGUUCUCACCUGUGUAUCCAUCCAGAUCCAGCCACUGUUCAGCCAGUGCUUGGUGUAGCUUCGGCUACGCCAACUCCUUCCACACAUGGAUAUAAUUUUCGUGCACACCGCCACAACAUAUUAGACCGUAAUACCAGAGUUUCUGCGCGAUUUGUGUGCUUAGGUGUGCAUGCAUAUUAUGGUGUGAGUAGCAGUAAUAUGUGAUGAUUGCUUGAUUAAUUAAAUUAGUAGUAUGCUUGUGUGCUUUUGUUUUAGUCGUUUCUUUUGUUUCUUUCUUUGGGCCUUCGGUGUUACAAAAUUUUCCCCUAUUAAAGUUGCUCGUCAGCCGACACCGGACCCGAAGAGUCAGCAAGAAAUGCAUAUAUUUGGAAACUCAGCUAAACAGAAUGGAAUUGUCAGCAGACUGCAGUGAAAUUGGAAAUAGCUCGUCUGAAUACAAAAGAAAUCCUGGAUGGAAUGUCAGUAUAAAGUUUGCAUUAACAUGCACUCCUCAUAGCACAAAUGAUCAAAUCAGCAAGAAGAUAAAUUGUGUGCAAGGUUGACAAAAUAUUAUCAAAGGUAUGGCUUAGAUACAAGUUUAAUUUUUCGUUGAGGAUGAUUUUGGAACCCGAUGUACCUGGAAGCAAGCAAAAAUAUGGCAUGUACUCAGAAAGGAGGAUAGUCCUGCAAAACCCUGUUUCAUACAAGAAAUCAAUAACAAAAAUAUUAAGAUGGUUAUAUAUGUGGAAAUCGGUCCGCAUAUCACAAUAAGAAGCUUCUGGUGUAAACAACCCAAUCUUCCCUCGCAAGAUACCCGAAAAGCUUCCAAGGCAAGAUUCAUCUAUCUUCUUCAGUACGAUACAUGGAUGAUUUCCCGUACAAGGUACUCUGCCUUCUUCAGUAAGCAACCGCAAAAGAUUCCAGCAUAAGGUACUGAGUUUUUCCCGAGCAACAUCUUUAAGGGGGUAAGCUUCUGAAGCACGAUACCCAGUCUUCUUCAGCAAGCUGUCCGAUGAAAGUUUCAAGCACAAGCCAGCCAAUCUUCCUUAGUAAGACAUUGGUACAAGGUAGUACGCUGUGAAUUGACAGCAUAUGGCAGCGAAUCCCAAGAAUCAGAUCCGCAACAUUUUGGUCAGAAGCAAGAAUCAGUCAGAACCUGAGGGAAGUUGAAACUGCCAUUUAAUGGGGUACCCUGUCAGAAAAAUGAGGAUAAGCUGCGAUUGCCGAAUUUUUUUUUGCACCGACAGUACCUAGGGUGAUACGAAAAAAGGCAAUAUAACCCAGCUCUUUCAGUCAAGGAUCCAGACCAAGAAAACAAUAAUGAUGGAGCAAGACCAAUGAUGUGGGUAUGAAAAUUGUUGCAAGACCCGUGUGGUGUAGAACCACCGUCAGUCAAGUCUGCAGAUAUUAUCCUACAGGUCAAACUCUUAUGCUAGCCACGACAGGCGACAAUCAAAUAUUUGGUACGGAUCCGAUACUCAAGACAGUGGAACCAGUUAAGAUGAAUCAGAAACUUCCGAGAUAAGCCAGAAUCUGUCAGGAAAGCAGUUAUGACCCAACUCACUGAUUGGAACCCGAAGCACCUGCAUUUAGUGGAGAAACCCAAUGCAAGGAGUUAGAGCUUGGGGGUCCACUAGAAAAAUCUGAUCACCACUUCAUGAAAGAUUGUCAGUGCCGGAUGACACACCCAGCGAAAAUCACUCUUGGAUUUGUGAGGCCGACAUAUAUUUCAGUCGUGAGGAUCAAUCACAGUCAGUUAAGUCAGCAGAUCUAAAAAGAAAUUGGAGGCUGUAUAAGCAUGAACAAGCAAGGUGAGAUCUGUCAGAAUAUAUUAAAGCAAACCACCCCAGGGCCAGCCAGAUAAAAAUUUAGUGGGAACAAAAAUAAGAAAAAGGAUACCCGAGUUGGAAACGGUUUCCUUAAGUCAGUAUCUUCAUACUUGUUCCCUGAACAACCAAAUCUCGAGGAAGAGAUUUCUUUAAGGGGGCAAGGUUUGUGACAGCCUGAUUUUUGGCCCUUUCUUUUUCUUUUGUUUUUCUGAGGUUUUUGCCUGAGAUUUCCUUUUUCCGUGGCUAUGUGGUCUGGAAACUGAAGAAGAUGAACUCUUCUUUGCUUCCAAAGUGGCUUGUCAUUCCCAAAUCCUUCCCUAGACCUGUCAUUUUCAUCCUAGCCCAAAUCCCAAUAUUCUUUUUAUUGGGGAUAUUCCUUUUCUAUUAAAGGAAUAACUCAAAUUGACCUAGGUUGUGAAGCAACCUUUAUUUCCAUCACUCCUAAAAUUCCCAAAUAAUUCUCAUAAAUUGUUUGGGUCAUAUCUUUCUCAAAUACA
rnacentral:lncRNA from 1 species